rnacentral:rRNA from 1 species
UACGGGGGGGGGCAAGCGUUGUUCGGAAUUACUGGGCGUAAAGCGUGCGUAGACGGUUACAUAAGUCGGGUGUGAAAGCCCCGGGCUCAACCUGGGAAUUGCAUUCGAGACUGCGUAGCUAGGGUGCGGAAGAGGGAAGCGGAAUUUCCGGUGUAGCGGUGAAAUGCGUAGAUAUCGGAAGGAACACCAGUGGCGAAAGCGGCUUCCUGGUCCAGCACCGACGUCAGGCACGAAAGCGUGGGGAGCAAACAGG